AGGCGUUGUAGCCAACCAAAGGCCACAUUCAAAAUCCAGCUGGGUCUCACCCGAAUGUGCUGCCUCAAGCAGUUCAUAUAAUUUGGUGACCAGGCCCAGGGUGUCUAAGAACUUGUCUUAACAAUUGCGUAAAGAGUACUCCACGCCCUUCUACGGCUUCCAGGUGGUUUUUGCCAAAAACUGUACAAUUUGUGGGUCCACCUCAGGGGUUUUUGCUACUGAAUCAGGUAUAAUAGGACGGGGCAUUCUGCUCUCAAUUUGUUACGACCCUCCUGGGAGAGAGGUUUUCGUACUCUCAAUGUUAGAUAUUGAGC